rnacentral:lncRNA from 1 species
UCAGUUUCUACUAAAACCCAGUAAGGUCAUUUUAUGUUUGUUAAGUUACAAGCCUUUGCCCUUACAAUGACUCUAAUUGAGAUGCUUGAGUUCUUCAAUGCUUUAAUUUUUAACUUUCUCUAUUGGUGAAAGCUUACAUGCCAAAAUUUUGCAAACAUUCAAAUUGGAAAAUACAGACAGCCCCAUUUCUAUGUUUCAUAAGCAUAGGUCCCCAACUCCCCCAUGACAAAUUUAGAUUAAUUGAAAUUCAAUUAACUCUAACAGGUAAACAGAGUAUUUGACAAACUUUAGAUCUUAGCAGGUAAACAGAGUAUUUGCAGUGACUUUAGUUGCCCCAUCUUUCCUUAUGCAUCUUCCCUGUAGUAUUUAAUAAGCAAACUUCAAAACUGGGCAUGUUUUUCCAGCCAAUGAAACAAAGUAAAAGGUCUAAUACAAUAUGAUAUGACAAGUGCCUAAUCAUGGAUGUUGUUAGUUUGAGGUUGAGAUUGAUGUUGUAAGAAGGAGAAACCAUUCAUAAUCAUAUCAAAUUUUUAACAUCCUUUUCGCUAAUUUCAUAUUCAUAUCAAUCUUUAAACACCUUAUUAACAAACAUAUGACAAAUAAAAAAGAACCAACCUCAGGCGCAUAACAUCAAACACUUAAUACCCACUCUUUCACCUGACCAAACUCCGAUUCUCAAAAUGAUGCCGGUUUUCAAAACCCCAUUCAACGGUUACUCCAUCAAGUUCAGUCCAUUCUACGAAAACCCCAUAGCUGUCGCCACCGCUUAACCCCGUCUGCCGUGACUCUUUCCUCUCCGGUUCAUGGGAUGACACCGUCAAAUUAUAAACUCUCGAUCGUCCCAUUUCCGUUCGCACUUUCAAAGAACACGCUUACUGUGUCUAUUCCUCCGUUUGGAACCCUCGUCACGCCGAUGUGUUCGCUUCCUCUUCCGGUGAUUGCACUAUCCACAAAUCAAGUGCAGCUUCAUGAGCUCCACUGCUCAUACUACCGCAUGCAAGCUCACUGUAAUUUUCUAAUCAACAUGGCUAGGAUUCUAUUGCUCGAUUAGGGUUUGACUGGGAUUCUAUGAUAGGAGUGAAAUGACGGUAGAAGUAGAAGAGAUUUUAAUUUGGGUAAAAAUGAAAAGCAUACAGAUUUUGAUUUGGGAAAUGAGAAGUUAAAUGAAAAAG